GUAGACCCCAUUUUAAAUCUCAUCCUACUCACCAAUCGAAUUGACAGCGAAGUAAUGUCAUGCCACUGGAAUUGGAUUCGAACCCAUAACAUUAUGACUAACAGGACAAAUCAAUUAUUUCUGAAAUCAAUCUAGGAAGCAGUUGGGCAGAAGGUACCAACGGCUAUGUACCACCAGACUGAAGACCGCUUCUAACCCACUGAUAUCGGAUUCUUUAACAGACCUCUCACAGAAUCAAAGCUAUUUUUUCAGGACCUUGGAUUUGAUCAGAGUCUCCCUUCGCUUGGUUUGUCUCUCAGGAUGGACUGCCCUGUCCUUUUUUUUCUAUUUAGAAUAGUGUUUUUUUUCCUUUUUUUUAAUAUAAUAUUCCUUCCUUUCUUCAUAAAUUGAUAAGAGGAGAAUGAAUUACAUUCUUUUUUUCUGUAUCGUACAUUCUAUAUCAAAUUUAUACUUUGUAGAUCAACACCAUGUGUGAUUCUGAUAUUGUUUAUUUUACCUUCUGUAUGUACUGUUAUUGACGUAUAUACUAGAGAUAUUCUCCUCCUGUUUGUAUACACACUUUAAAAAAAAUCGAUAAAAAGAUUGAAAAAAAGAAAAGAAAGAUGCUAUAUAAAUGAAAGCUUUUGUUAGCAGUGACAGUGCUCAGCUAAAAUGUGGUCAUCUAGAGGGAAACUUUUGACAGUCUGGAAAUUUUGUUCUGAUUUUUAACUUGACCUGAUUUCCCAAAAGUGUCUAAACAUUUGUAUCCAGAACAUAAAAUCAGCUCACUAUUAUCCUGUGCAAUACAUGUAAAAUAUAUUUUAUCUUUACUAUAAUUCAUAUUAAUUAAACUUCACAUGUCACUGAUCAAGCAGAAAUAUAAGACAUUAAGGAACUUGACAGGAACAUUAAAAUACUAGAGCCAAAUUAUCUGUGGUCUCACAUAUGGCAAUAUUUACUUUACUGCAGCAACCAGCUUAAAAUUGACCACGUAACAUCGUUCGAAUCUGAAACAGCUACAUAUUGUGGCUAUUACACUUUCAUCAACAGAUAGCCUUGUAGGUGAUUUAUAUUAGUAUAUUAGUUUCGUACACAGUUCCAGUUGUAAUUAUUUCUCUACACAUUGUACAUCCUGUCCACGUAGGUAUCUUUGGACCCUCAGAAAUUGUGGAUCAGGAUGUCAUUUACCAACAAGUUGACAUUUAUCAGCCUAUUUCUUGUUCCAGCACCUCUUGAACUGUGUCCUUUCACAUUACAGACAUACAAAAAGGAGGUCCAAAUCAACUCAGGCUCUCAAAUCAUUGCAACAUUUUUUACUGUACAUUCUUUGAUAACUUCCAGUCUUGUAUUGUUCAAAGAAAUGGGGAGAAAAAAUUCGACUGGCAAGCAACUAACAAAAACACACUGUACCAAUUGGACUUCAGAGAUGGUGGAACACUGCAAUAAAAUCCAUUUGGAACAAGGAGCACAGAUGUGACUACCUUAGGUCACUGACAAAAUCUCUGCACCUUAUGACUGAAAGAAUCAGACAUUUUAGUCUACAUUCAGACUUCAGGAAGGGAAAGUCAGGAGAACACACACGAGUCCUCACUGAGGGGUCAGUGGUGUACAAGGUGAGCAGCUUCAACUUCCUGGUGUCAAUAUCUUGGAGGAUCUAUCCUGGGCCCGAAACAUUGAUGCAGUCAUGAGAAAGGCAAGCCAAUAGCUCCACUUCAGAGUUUUGGUAUGCUAUCAAAGACUCUUGUGAAUCUCUAUAGAUGUACAGAGGAGAGCAUUCUGACAGGUCAAGUCACAAUAUGGUACAGAGCCUUCAAUGCGCUGGAUCUCAAGAUCAAAAUUAGCCUUUGCAAGACACCUAGACAGAGCACCUCCCACCAUCAUUAAUGUAGGGAUUGGUUCUGCUAGGUUGGGGACCCAUGGUUCAUGGUCACCAUUGUCCAUGCCAUCUGGCAAAACCAAGAACAUGGUUUAUUCAUCACUGGUCAUACAAAUCUGUCACAGUCUGGAGCUGAACCAGCUAGUCCAAUAAUGAGUGAAAAUUACCAGGGUAUAGAACUCCAGCUUACCACAGGAGGGAAGCCUCAGCAGCUCUCCAAAGAACACACCCUCGUUGAUUGACCUGUGACCACUUUUGGAAGUACACACACACAUAUUGCAUUGUCAUUCCGCUAUUGUUGCGCUGAGUGUACGCACUACAAUGUCUUCCCCUGGGAUAUUCUCAUAAUAGGUUUGGCUUUAUGGCCUUUCCCGCCAUACACGGUGGAAUAUUCCAUGGCAUUAGUAAUGGAGAUGUGGAAAUAUUGUUUACAUAAUGUAAUUAAGAUAGAUAUUGUUUAAAUCGUAAUAUGAUCAUAACUACGUUGUGGGGUGCAUCAUAUUCUAAUUCCUUUGUAGAUUUAAGUUAACCUUGUGGGUGAUUAGUGCCGGGAUGUCCUGGUGCCUAAAAAACGGGCCAGAUCACUCUGAGUAAAAGGGGGAGGGGGGAGAGGGCGAGGGAGAUGUUGGGAGUUCACAGUGGACAUAGUAUGACACUAUAAUGUGUUUUCUGGUAGAUACCUUUUUGUAAAU